rnacentral:misc_RNA from 1 species
AAGAAUACAAGGCCUCGCGGCCCUAUUCUCACCCUUUGUAUACCAAACCUCGUUGCUUUGGCAGGCUCUCCAGCCUGCCAGAGGACCUAAACUCUUGAAUCUUUGCCGUCUGAGUACUAUAUAAUAGUUA